AUGAGAAAAUUAACCUUGUGUAAUUUCCAUGUGAAGAAAAUAACUAUCUCAACUGGAAGAAGUUCAUUUUAUUUCUUCUUAUGUAGAUCAGAGAUAAUUGUAUUUUUCUUUCCAAAACACUUCCUCUGGUUUGGGGCAGCCUCCACCUUUCACACUCAUAACCAGAUCUUUCUUUCUGAUAGUGUGGAUCAAAUUCUUGGAAAAGGACAAAUCACGUCAGACAAGAAGAGCAGAGAGAAAAUAACCGCAGAACACGAGGCCACGGACGACCUCAGUAUGCUCGGCCGGGUGGUCAAAGUUGAAAAACAGGUCCAGUCCAUCGAGGCCAAGCUGGACUGCCUGCUGGACAUCUACCAGCAGGUGCUGCGGAAAGGCUCAGCUCCGACCCUCGCGCUGGCCCCCUUCCCAAGCCCGCCCUUCGAAUGUGAACAGACGUCGGACUACCAGAGCCCGGGCGACGGCCGGGACCUGUCGGGCCCGGCGCCGGGCGGCGGCCUCCCGCGCUCGGCCAGCGCGGGCCUGGCGCGGGGCCUGCAGCUCAUCCUGGCGCCCGGCGAACUGGGCGCCCAGGCGCUCUACGCGUUCAGCCCCGCGCCGACGCCGGCGCCCGGGAGCCCGGGAGACGGCCCGGCGGCCCCGCGCGGCCUGGCGCCCCCGGCGGCGGUGGGCGCGGCCCGGCCGGCGGCCCCCGCCACCCUGCAGAUCCCGGCCGCGCUGCCGGUGCUCGGGCCGCUGCCCCACGGCCCCGCCGGAGUCCCGGAGGCGCUCCCGGAGCUCAGCGCCCGCCUGGCCGCCGCCAAGGACCGCCUCCCGGCCAAGGAGCGCUCCCUGCGCCAGAGCCUGGACCUGGGCGGGGCGGCCCUGCUGUCGGUCCGGCCCGCGGUGCCCCAGGACCCGGGCCGCUCGGUGUCGGCGCAGAACCUGGCCCGGUCCACCGAGGACCUGGACGUGCAGCUGUCGGGGAGCGAGUCCAGCGGCUCCAGGGGCAGCCAAGAGUUUUACCCCAAGUGGCGGGAAUCCAAGUUGUUUAUCAGUGAUGAAGAGGCAGCGGGUCCGGAGGACACUGGGACAGACGCCUUGGACGCGGUGCCGCCGGCCCGGGAGCCCGCCCCGGCGCCGGACUCUCUCAGGACUGGACGGUCGCGAUCAUCUCAGAGCUCCUGUCCCGCGGCGGGGGGCGCCGACGCCCUGGGCCGGCCACACGUGAGGCUGAAAUGA
rnacentral:lncRNA from 1 species